GUGUUGUGUGUUUUGUCGGCGAUCUCUUCCGGUCAAACAGUCUCUGAUGAAGCAGCAGCGGCAGCAGCAGCAGCAGCGACACGGGAACCGGACCGCUCUCGUUUCUGUGCGGGUUCUGUUCUGGUUCUGCUGCUGAAAAAAACCCAAACCCGCGCUUUUAAUCCCGGAAAACUGCGGGGGGGAAAAGAACGCGACGGAUCGGGCAGCGGCGAGACGGGAAAAGGAGCGGAAAACGUGGGACGCCGUGGCCGAAAAAGGCAGCUCCAAUGCGGACUGGCUCGUAAGAUGUCUAAUGUUAUGAUGGAAGCCACCACCAUCCUCCCCAUCCUCAAGAAGAAGCUGGCCUUCCUCUCAGGGGGUAAGGACCGGCGCAGCGGGCUCAUCCUCACCAUCCCCCUGUGCUCCGACCAGACCAGCAUGGAGGAGCUCAGUGCCACGCUCGACUACCUGCUCAGCAUACCCAGCGAGAAGUGCAAAGCUCGGGGCUUCACCGUGAUCGUGGACGGACGCAGGUCUCAGUGGAACAUCGUCAAGACCGUGGUGCUCAUGCUGCAGAACGUGAUCCCGGCGGAGGUGUCCCUGGUCUGUGUGGUCAAACCCGACGAGUUCUGGGACAAGAAGGUCACUCACUUCUGCUUCUGGAAGGAGAAGGACCGUCUGGGCUUUGAGGUGAUCCUGGUUUCGGCCAACAAGCUGACGCGAUACAUCGAGCCCUCUCAGCUCACGGACGACUUCGGAGGAACGCUGGACUAUGACCACAGCGACUGGCUCGGCAAAAGACUGGUUUUUGAGAAGUUCACCAAAGAGUCCACCUCGCUCCUGGACGAGCUGUCAAUCAUCAACGACGCCGACAAGAGCAGCGCACAGGACAAAGACAAACCCGCGGACUGUAACCUGCUGCCAUCGUUUGACCCUGAAACUGUCCUCCAGAGCGGUCAUGAGCUUCUGUCUGAGCUUCAGCAGAGGAGGUUUAACGGUUCAGAGGGAGGAGGCCCUGGAGGCCCGGCGUGGUGUCCCAUGGAGGAGGAGCUUCUGGCCCAGCCUCAGGUGAUGAAGCUGCUGGACUCGCUGAGAGAACAGUACACCAGGUACCAGGAGCUGUGCAGGCAGAGGAGCAAGAGGAGCCAGCUGGAGGACAUCCACACCAAGGUCAUGCAGGUGGUGACGUGGCUCCAGGGUCCAGGCUCCGAGCUGCUGAAGUCCCAUCAGGCCAUAGGAGACUCCAUCAGAGCGGCUCAGGCUCUGCAGCAGAAGCACGAGGAGAUCGAGAGUCAGCACAGCGAGUGGUUUGCGGUGUACGUGGAGCUGAACCAGCAGAUCGGCGCCCUCCUCAGCGCGGGGGAGGAGGAGGAGGUGGUGGAGCUCAAGUCUCUGCAGCAGAAGCUCAGCGACGUGUGCUACAGGCAGGCCGCUCAGCUGGAGACCCGGCAGAACGUGCUCCAGGCCGCGCACAGCUUCCACAGCACCACGCAGGAGUUGUCCCAGCAGCUGGACAGUCUUCUGGGGAUGCUCUGUGCGGACGUGGCCCCGGCCGACGGAGCCGCCAUCCAGCAGAACCUCAAGAUGCUGGAGGAGAAACUGCAGACUGUGGAGUCGGGCCUGACGUCGCUGCGGCAGAAGGGGGCGCUGUUGCUGGAGCAGAUGUGCGGGCAGACGGCGUGGCCUGUGGAAGAAGCAGAGGGGACGUCGGAGGAGCAGCAGGGCAACGUCCAGCAGAUCCAGGCGGUCAUGGACGAGAUGCAGCUCCGUAAGCAGAGGUGUGAAGACAUGGUGGACGUCAGGAGGCUCAAGAUGCUACAGAUGGUCCAACUGUUCAAGUGUGAAGAGGACGCUCUACAGUCGGUGGAGUGGCUGGGCGAGCUCCUGGACGCUCUGCUCAAGACUCAUGUCCGACUGGGAGACGAUUCUCAGGAGACCAGGACCAUGCUGGACAAACACCGCAAGUUUGUGGACGUGGCUCAGAGCACGUACGACUACGGGCGGCAGCUGCUGCAGGCGACGGUGGUGCUGUGUCAGUCUCUGCGCUGUACCACACGCUCCUCGGGGGACACGCUGCCCAGACUCAACCGCGUCUGGAAACAGUUCAGCGUGAGCGCGGACCAGAGGCAGGCCAGGCUGGAGCUGGCCCUGGACUUCCACACCGCAGCAGAGAGGGUGCUGCAGGAGGUGUGUGUGGACGCGGCCGCUCUCGAUGACGUGGAUUCUUCGGGGAAAGCUCUCCUGGACAGACUCACUUUGCCGGUCAUCUUCCCCGACGGGAGCGAGCACUUCUUCGGCAGCCCCAGUGACACGGCGGUGGCGGCUGAAGGCGUCAGAGAGCGCCUCCUGCUGGUGGAGGAGCGGCGGUUACAACUGCAGGCGGCGGGCAUCGGGUACCACGACGAAGAGGAGGAGGAGGAGGAGGAGGAAGGGGAGGGCCGCGAAGGGGAAGGGGCGGGGCUUCUGAAGAGACAGGACUCUAAACUGGACGUGAUCGGGGAGGAGCUGAACGAGAGAGACGAAGGAGAAGAGGAGGAAGAGGAGGAGGAGGACGGGGAGCUGCACAGAGACGAGCAGGACUGUUGAAUAUAAUAUAAAAAAAUGAACUUUAACCGGGAUUAUGGAGAUCUGGGGUCCACCGAGGCUACAUCCAGGGGUUUCAGAUUUUACAAAAAAAAUUUAUUGAUGUUGCAGAUGUUGCAAUUUCAUCCACAUUUUUUUUUUUUUUUUUUAAAUCAAGUUUCGGUGCACAUGAACAUUUGCAAACAUCACAAAAACACAGAAAUAAAAACCCGUCGUCACUUCACAGGCAGAAGAAACAUCGACUAAAACUGGACUAAAAUUGGACUAAAGCUGGACUAAAACAAGACUGAAACUGGACUAAAACUGGACUGAAGAAGGACUGAAACAGGACUAAAUCCGGUUUAAAUGAGGUCUAAACCAGGACUGAACCAGGACUAAAACAGGAGUAAAUCAGGACUGGUCCUAGGAGGACUAAAACAGGACUGAACCAGGACGAAGACUGGACUAAACCAGGACUAAACCAGAUCCAUACCAGGAGUGAUCCCAGGAGGACUAAAUCAGGAUUAAGUCAGGACUGAACCAGGACUGAACCAGGACUGAACCAGGACUGAACCAGGACUGAACCAGGACUGAUCCAGGACUGAUCCCAGGAGGACUAAAUCAGGACUAAAUCAGGACUGAACCAGGGCUAAAACAGGACUAAAACAGGAUUGAACAGGUCUAAAUCAGGUCUAAAUGAGGUUUAAAUGAGGUCUAAACCAGGACUGAACCAGGACUGAACCAGGACUGAACCAGGACUGAACCAGGACUAAAACAGGACUAAAACAGGUCUAAAUGAGGUUUAAAUGAGGUCUAAUGAGGUCUAAACCAGGACUAAACCAGGACUAAACCAGGACUAAUCCCAGGACUAAACCAGGACUAAACCAGGACUGAUCCAGGACUGAUCCCAGGAGGACUAAAUCAGGACUAAAACAGGACAAAAACAGGAUUGAACAGGACUAAAUCAGGUCUAAAUGAGGUUUAAAUGAGGUCUAAACCAGGACUGAACCAGGACUGAAUCAAGACUAAACCAGAACUAAAACAGGUCUAAAUGAGGUUUAAAUGAGGUCUAAUGAGGUCUAAACCAGGACUAAACCAGGACUAAACCAGGACUAAACCAGGACUGAUUAGCCUGUCGGACAAAUGAGCUGAUCCCGAUUUAUCACGGGCACGGACAGGUAACAGUUGGAAUAUGACGGGUGCGGAUUUAGCUUUGACAUUAUAAUAAUAAUAAUAAUAAUAAUAACAACAUAGGACCUUUUAAUAAUAUUAGUUUUGGAUGUAGCCCGCUGACCCCAGAGCCUCGUCAUGACCCUGUGAGCUCAAAGCUACAGCCGGUUUGUGGUUCUAAACUGCAAAACCCUGCACUAAAAGACUCGACACUACAUUUCCCAUCAGCCAUCUGGAGAAAAGCCUAACUCGAGCCUGGACUGUUACUGGACUUACGCGAUGAUUCUGCUUUGUAAUACUUUCCUAAAGACUAUUCCAACAUUCCCUUUUCCCCCCAUGUGCAUGCCGCGUUACUGAAGCCGAAGGGAACAACGGAAUUUUCAAAUAUGGAGGAGUCUUUUUUUUUUAAACUAAAGUCUGAUGUUUUCGCCGGUGCUAAUCUGAACCCUGUGUGUGCCUCUCUCCGUCUGCUUCUGGCCUUUAAUUAUUCCCUUGUGCUAAUAAAAACAUUUGGUGCCAUUGA